AAACUUAAAGGAAUUGACGGGGACCCGCACAAGCGGUGGAUGAUGUGGAUUAAUUCGAUGCAACGCGAAAAACCUUACCUACCCUUGACAUGUUCAGAAUCCCGGAGAGAUUUGGGAGUGCCCGAAAGGGAGCUGGAACACAGGUGCUGCAUGGCUGUCGUCAGCUCGUGUCGUGAGAUGUUGGGUUAAGUCCCGCAACGAGCGCAACCCUUGUCGUUAAUUGCCAUCAUUUAGUUGGGCACUUUAACGAGACUGCCGGUGACAAACCGGAGGAAGGUGGGGAUGACGUCAAGUCCUCAUGGCCCUUAUGGGUAGGGCUUCACACGUCAUACAAUGGUCGGUACAGAGGGUUGCCAAGCCGCGAGGUGGAGCCAAUCCCAGAAAGCCGAUCGUAGUCCGGAUUGCAGGCUGCAACUCGCCUGCAUGAAGUCGGAAUCGCUAGUAAUCGCGGAUCAGCAUGUCGCGGUGAAUACGUUCCCGGGUCUUGUACACACCGCCCGUCACACCAUGGGAGCGGGUUCCGCCAGAAGUAGGUAGCCUAACCGCAAGGGGGGCGCUUACCACGGCGGGGUUCGUGACUGGGGUGAAGUCGUAACAAGGUAGCCGUAGGGGAACCUGCGGCUGGAUCACCUCCU
rnacentral:rRNA from 1 species